rnacentral:rRNA from 1 species
GAUGAACGCUGGCGGCGUGCCUAACACAUGCAAGUCGAACGGAGAGAAGACACCGAAGGAAGCUAAGAGCUUGCUCGAAGCGGAGAUCACCGUUUUCUCUUAGUGGCGGACGGGUGAGUAACGCGUGGAUAACCUGCCUCAUACAGGGGGAUAACAGUUAGAAAUGACUGCUAAUACCGCAUAAGCGCACACUAUCGCAUGAUAGAGUGUGAAAAACUCCGGUGGUAUGAGAUGGAUCCGCGUCUGAUUAGCCAGUUGGCGGGGUAACGGCCCACCAAAGCGACGAUCAGUAGCCGACCUGAGAGGGUGACCGGCCACAUUGGGACUGAGACACGGCCCAAACUCC